ensembl:lncRNA
CUCUCCUCGCCUGUGAAGACCCAACGAUGUCCCGAGGACACGGACGUGGCUGCAGCCGGCGCUCCCGGGCCCGCACAUGUCUGUGUAAACAAUGACCGGUUGUUACGGAGGGGAUCGAGUUUUUUUUUUUUUUUUCAGACCAGGAAGGGACGUGAGAGAGACGGAUAGAAGACGAGCAUGUGACAUAGAGAGUGAUGGUGAGCUACAGAGACACGGACUGGGACACAAGGCCCGUCUUUGUCUAUCAAACCGGAUCCACGCGGAGGCCUGAGAGGAAUUCAGGCUGGCGGCCCGGCCCUUCAUGUCCGCUGCGAGGCGGCAGAACAGUUCCUGAAAGACGUCAGUAAGCAGGACGCGGUCCCAACGUGUGCUCGCAUGGAUCCCGGCCGAGAAUUCCUACUUUAAGACGUUAAUUUUUCCUCAUGACGGCUCUUUUACCAACGUUGACCUGUUGCCAGGUUGGUCCUAUGUUACAGACUGAAAGUACAUGGUGCCCCAAGAGGUUUAAGACCUGGAUUGGUAAUUUGGAGCACACACAUUCAUGGCAAAAGAAAAGAAAUUGAGGCCUUAAAAUGUGUUCGAACUGCUCCUCUCUGACGAGUGGAAGCCGACGAGCGCUGCUGCAGAUCUGUAUGAAAUCAGGAGCACAUUUUGGAUGAGAUGUCGCUUGAGGACUCGUUGAACUCUUACAUCAUCUCAACCAGAGGGUGCCGGGCCGGAGAGAUCGCGGCCUCCAGGCCGAAGUUGCUCCACUGGAAGCAGAACGCACCCUGUUUGCAUUCGUAAUACAC